UCUUCCAAGUGAGAAAACUCAUGUGCUUGCACGUGAGUACAACUCCUCAAAGUAUUCUAGCAUUCCCUCAUUUCAAUAUCCAUGAUGUGGCCAGAUCCCAUUGGUUGAUUAUCUUAAGCUGCGGUGGCUUCCACAGGAGAUGUAAAGCGGCCACUCACCUACACAUUACCUACCAUUUAAGCUUGGGCGUUACUUCACUUCACCCAUUGAAUUUAUUAGAAACUUUGAUGCUAAAAAACACAACCCAAUAACGUCAACAAAUCAUCAUCUCCAUUCUCCAAUGAAACAAAGCCAAAGCCAGAAAAGCCAAAGACCCACCAAAGAAUAAAGCAGGAGAAGAUAAGGAGAGAGAGAGAGAGAGAG
rnacentral:misc_RNA from 1 species